GAGGGUAUAGCUCAGUGGUAGAGUGCAUGCAUAGUAUGCACAAGUCCUGGGUUCAAUUCCCAGUACCUCCA
rnacentral:tRNA from 1 species